rnacentral:rRNA from 1 species
GUGCCAGCAGCCGCGGUAAUACGGAGGGUGCGAACGUUAAUCGGAAUUACUGGGCGUAAAGCGCGCGUAGGCGGUUUGUUAAGUGGGAUGUGAAAUCCCCGGGCUCAACCUGGGAACUGCAUUUCAAACUGACAAACUAGAGUUCAGUAGAGGGAGGUGGAAUUUCCUGUGUAGCGGUGAAAUGCGUAGAUAUAGGGAGGAACACCAGUGGCGAAGGCGGCCUCCUGGACUGAAACUGACGCUCAAACGCGAAAGCGUGGGGAGCAAACAGGAUUAGAUACCCUGGUAGUCCACGCCGUAAACGAUGAGAACUAGCCGUUUGGCCCCUUGAGGGCUUAGUGGCGCAGCUAACGCGAUAAGUUCUCCGCCUGGGGAGUACGGCCGCAAGGUUAAAACUCAAAGGAAUUGACGG